rnacentral:rRNA from 1 species
UUCUUCGGAGAGUUUGAUCCUGGCUCAGGACGAACGCUGGCGGCGUGCCUAAUACAUGCAAGUCGAGCGAAUCGAUGGGAGCUUGCUCCUUGAGAUUAGCGGCGGACGGGUGAGUAACACGUGGGCAACCUGCCUAUAAGACUGGGAUAACUUCGGGAAACCGGAGCUAAUACCGGAUACGUUCUUUUCUCGCAUGAGAGAAGAUGGAAAGACGGUU